rnacentral:lncRNA from 1 species
UACCUUGUUCCUCAGACCUGCAAGCAGAUCGUUUUUAAUGCCUGGACUCUAGUACUUCUCUUUUUUUUUUUUUUUUUUUUUUNNNNNNNNNNNNNNNNNNNNNNNNNNNNNNNNNNNNNNNNNNNNNNNNNNNNNNNNNGUGUUAAAAGCAGAAGUCUCUUAUCUGCUGGGCAGUUUGGAGAAGGCCAUGGAGACCAAGGCAGACUGACCUUCAGUGGAGAGUGAUAGUAGACAUGGGAUCAAGAGAAAGAACAAAUCCUGUACCUCUUAAACCCCCUUUCCCAGUUAGCAUUUGCCCUAAGUAAGCAAUGAGUGGCACUCAUGGAGUAGUCACAGGUCCAAGGCCUAAAGCACAAGCACACAUGGAGAGGUCUAAGGUUCUGAGUUCUGGGAUGGUGGUGGCACUGGUGUCUGGGAUACAAGCACCCCAGUUUUCCUUGUUGGCAAUGGAAUGUAAGGCACCAAACAGAUGUGAAAAUUAUCUAGCAUUAUGUAAGGUGUUUAGUAUUCACUAUAAGUAAAACAUACUUUGGGGGCCCAGAGAACCAAUUUAUAUCUACCAGGAUAACUUGAAAAUAAUACAUGUUGGAGAGGAUGUGGAGAAAUUGGAACCCUCAUACAUUACUGAUAAGAAUGUAAAACGAUACAGCUGCUAGGAAAAACAGUUUCCAGUUCUUUAAAAGUUAAACAGUUACUAUGUCAUCUCAAAAUUUCACUCUUAGGUAGAUACUCAAGAGAACUGAAAAUACGUAUUCACACAAAAACUUAGACAUUCAUAGCAGCAUUAUUCAUAGUAGCCCAAAGGUGGAAACAACCCAAAUCUCCAUCAAAUGAUGAAUGGCUAAACAAAAUGUGAUAUAUCCAUGCAAUGGAAUAUUAUUCAGCCAUAAAAAGGAAUAUAACAUAAUACUGAUACAUGCUACAACAUGAAUGAAUUUCAAAAAUAUUAUGCUAUGUGGAAGAAAUUAUACAUGAAAAGUCACAUAUUGUAUGAUUGCAUUUAUAUGAAAUUUCUAGAAUAGACAAAUCAAUGGAAAGAGAAAGUAGAUUAGUAUUUUCCAGGGGAUGGGGGAGAGGGAUGAAUGGGGAAGGCUGCCUAAAGUGUGCAGAUUUGUGAGGUGAUGAAAAUAUUCUGAAAUUAGAUAGUAAUGUUGGUUACAACCUUGGGAAUAUAUUAAACUAUACUGAAUUGUACAAUUAAUAAUGGUAUGCUGAUAGUAUAUGAAUUCUAUCUCAAUGCUUAAAAAUUGCAGGAUCUCUCUAAGGAGUUCUUUGGCUAAUGUGCAUUAUAAAUUUCUAAGAUACAGAUACAGAAUUUUAUAAUUUCCAUCUUAUUUAACAAUAAAAUAUUUUUCAUAGGGUAGCUCUUUGGGAACAGCUGUAAGAAAUUAUUGCUCUAGUGAAUUCACUCCAAAUAAAUAUUCAUGUAAGAGCAUUCAGUACCUAGAGUAGAUGGUUUGGCUUAAAUGAUUCAUCACUGUUGAUUCUAGGUCAUUGCCAUUUCUCCAUUUCAUUUUGGCUCUGUUGACAGUAUUCUUCAUUAU